rnacentral:rRNA from 1 species
GAAGGAUCCAAGCGUUAUCUGGAUUUAUUGGGUUUAAAGGGUGCGUAGGCGGUUUUUUAAGUCAGUGGUGAAAUACGGCAGCUUAACUGUCGAGGUGCCAUUGAUACUGGGAAACUUGAGUACUGAUGAGGUAGGCGGAAUGGACGGUGUAGCGGUGAAAUGCUUAGAGAUCGUCCAGAACACCGAUAGCGAAGGCAGCUUACUAAGGAGUAACUGACGCUGAGGCACGAAAGCGUGGGGAGCAAACAGGAUUAGAUACCCUGGUAGUCCACGCCUUAAACGAUGGGUACUAGGUGCUGGGUCGCAAGGUUCAGUGCCAAAGCUAACGCAUUAAGUACCCCACCUGGGGAGUACGAUCGCAAGGUUG